rnacentral:rRNA from 1 species
CCUACGGGAGGCUGCAGUGGGGAAUAUUGGACAAUGGGGGAAACCCUGAUCCAGCGACGCCGCGUGAGUGAAGCAGUAUUUCGGUACGUAAAGCUCUAUCAGCAGGGAAGAAAAUGACGGCACCUGACUAAGAAGCCCCGGCUAACUACGUGCCAGCAGCCGCGGUAAUACGUAGGGGGCAAGCGUCAUCCGGAUUUACUGGGUGUAAUGGGAGAGUAGAAGGCAGAGCAAGGCUGGAGUGAAAUGCCGGGGCCCAACCCCCGGACUGCACUGGAAACUGCGGAGCUUGAGUGCUGGAGAGGUAAGCGGAAUGCCGGGUGUAGCGGUGAAAUGCGUAGAUAUCAGGAGGAACACCGGUGGCGAAGGCGGCUUACUGGACUGUAACUGACGUUGAGGCACGAAAGCGUGGGGAGCAAACAGGAUUAGAUACCCGUGUAGUC